GAGGGACCAACACAACCACGUUGGCUGACUUGCAACAAAUGCUGGUUGAAGAAUAGGAUGCCAUCCCACGGCAGUGUGUUUAAUCCAGCCACUA